AGAGUUUGAUCAUGGCUCAGAACGAACGCUGGCGGCAGGCCUAACACAUGCAAGUCGAACGCGACCUUCGGGUCGAGUGGCGCACGGGUGAGUAACGCGUGGGAAUCUGCCCUGUGGUACGGAAUAACAUCGGGAAACUGGUGCUAAUACCGUAUAUCCCCUGAGGGGGAAAGAUUUAUCGCCAUGGGAGGAGCCCGCGUAGGAUUAGCUAGUUGGUGAGGUAACGGCUCACCAAGGCGACGAUCCUUAGCUGGUCUGAGAGGAUGAUCAGCCACACUGGGACUGAGAUACGGCCCAGACUCCUACGGGAGGCAGCAGUGGGGAAUAUUGGACAAUGGGGGAAACCCUGAUCCAGCCAUGCCGCGUGUGUGAUGAAGGCCUUCGGGUUGUAAAGCACUUUCGCACGUGACGAUGAUGACGGUAACGUGAGAAGAAGCCCCGGCUAACUUCGUGCCAGCAGCCGCGGUAAUACGAAGGGGGCAAGCGUUGUUCGGAAUUACUGGGCGUAAAGGGCGCGUAGGCGGUGCACUAAGUCAGGCGUGAAAGCCCUGGGCUCAACCCGGGAAUUGCGUUUGAUACUGGUGCGCUUGAAUCCAGGAGAGGUUGGUGGAAUUCCCAGUGUAGAGGUGAAAUUCGUAGAGAUUGGGAAGAACACCGGUGGCGAAGGCGGCCAACUGGACUGGUAUUGACGCUGAGGCGCGAAAGCGUGGGGAGCAAACAGGAUUAGAUACCCUAGUAGUCC
rnacentral:rRNA from 1 species